GUUUCUGUAGUGUAGUGGUCAUCACGUUUGCCUUAUAUGCAAAAGAUCUUCAGUUCAGAACUGGGCGGAAACA